rnacentral:rRNA from 1 species
UCGCCUGUUUUAUCAAAAACAUAGCUCCUUGAAAUUUAUAAGGAGUUAAGCCUGCCCAAUGGAAUUAAUCUAAAUGGCCGCGGUAUCUUGACCGUGCAAAGGUAGCAUAAUCACUUGUCUCCUAAAUAGAGACUAGUAUGAAUGGCACAACAUUUUCUAACUGUCUCCUUUAUUUCCCCUUAAAACUUCUAUUAACGUGAAGAAGCGUUAUUAAAAAAGAAAGACGAGAAGACCCCGUCGAGCUUCAACUUCUAAAAGAAAUUUAAUACCUUAUAAAAGAAUUUAAAAUCUAAAAAGAAGUUUUGGUUGGGGCAACCAUGGAGUAAAAAAAACCUCCAGAUAUUAAAAAAGAUUAUAAAUCACUUAAUUUAAACAAAGAACCAUCAACAAUGAUUUACAGAAAUAGUUACCGCAGGGAUAACAGCGUCAUCUCCUUUAAGAGUUCACAUUGACAAGGAGGAUUGCGACCUCGAUGUUGGAUUGGGACUACCUAAGGGUGCAGCAGCUCUUCUAGGUUGGACUGUUCGUCCAAUAAUCCCCCACGUGAUCUGAGUUCAGACCGG